AUGAGGAUGAGGACCACCAGCCUCCUCCUUGCCACCGGCGUCGUUGCUGCCGUCGUCUGCGCCACUGUCAACCCCACACCUGGGUGGAAAUCCUGCGAGGACGGCCCCAAGAUCGACGAGCUCGCAAAGUGGGCGCUGGCGGAGAUGAAGCAAGGCCUCCAGUUGAGCAGCGUGCUCCGUUGCGAGGAGCAAGGCCUAGGCGCUCAAGGAAUCAUCUAUCGUAUCCUGCUGAACGCGCUCGACCGCACCGGCGGGACGGGCCACUACACGACGGACGUGUACGAUGAGGCGGCGACCAAAGUGCGCAAGCUCCUCUACUUCGGCACUGCCCCGUGA
rnacentral:rRNA from 1 species